UACGAAGGGGGCUAGCGUUGCUCGGAAUCACUGGGCGUAAAGCGCACGUAGGCGGGCUCUUAAGUCAGGGGUGAAAUCCUGGAGCUCAACUCCAGAACUGCCUUUGAUACAGCUCGUCUUGAGUCCGAUAGAGGUGGGUGGAAUUCCUAGUGUAGAGGUGAAAUUCGUAGAUAUUAGGAAGAACACCGGUGGCGAAGGCGGCCCACUGGAUCGGUACUGACGCUGAGGUGCGAAAGCGUGGGGAGCAAACAGG
rnacentral:rRNA from 1 species